GUGCUCGCUCCGGCAGCACAUAUACUAAAAUUGGUAGGUUAGCAUGGCCCCUGAGCAGGGAUGACAUGCAAAUUCAUGAAGCAUUCCAUAUUUUU
rnacentral:snRNA from 1 species